rnacentral:lncRNA from 1 species
GCAUUGCAUCGCCACCGCUCAGUCAUUACUCCUUCUCUUCUUUUUCUUGCUGGUAGGCACAACCAAAUUACAUAGUUGCAAUUAAAAAAAGUUCAGAUGGGGGAAAGGCCGCAACCUACUUUUAAAUGGUGCUGCUUGCACUAGAUUAAGUGACCGUCACUUAGCCAACAACUGGAACUGCAGAUUCUGCCACUAGUAGGGGAAUUUGCUCGAGCACUUUGCUCGACAGGUACGCGGCGGCAGUUGGCCGGCGGUGGGGAAGGAGUCUGCGUAGUGGCGCACAAACUUUGGGGAGGGGAGGUGCUGUGGCAUGAUCCCUGCAGUACAGCGAGGUGUGGCUCAGCGGCAGGGCCUCUCGGGGGAGCUCGGGGAAGAGGGGAAGCGCGGGCGACG